AAAGUCGUAACAAGGUUUCCGUAGGUGAACCUGCGGAAGGAUCAUUAAAGAGUUUUAUGGGGUGAGAUUAGGCCCUUAGUGGGCCUAAGGUUGGUGGCCUUUUAAGGCGCUAACAACUCACAACCUAUGCGUAUGUUGUGUUUGACUGUGUAAUAAGUGACUAAGAGACAAUGAGACAACUUUUAACAAUGGAUCUCUUGGCUCUC
rnacentral:misc_RNA from 1 species